rnacentral:rRNA from 1 species
CCUACGGGUGGCAGCAGCAAGGAAUCUUCCGCAAUGGGCGCAAGCCUGACGGAGCAACGCCGCGUGCGGGAUGACGCCCUUCGGGGUGUAAACCGCUUUUCGGGGGGAAGAAGGCGCGGGUCUCCCGCGCUUGACGGUACCCCCGGAAGAAGGCCCGGCUAACUACGUGCCAGCAGCCGCGGUAAUACGUAGGGGCCGAGCGUUGUCCGGAGUUACUGGGCGUAAAGCGCACGCAGGCGGCGGCGUGGGCCCGGCGUGAAAGCCCCCGGCUCAACCGGGGAAGGUCGUCGGGGACCGCGUCGCUUGAGGCCAGCAGGGGGUGGUGGAAUGCCCGGUGUAGUGGUGAAAUGCGUAGAGAUCGGGCGGAACACCCGUGGCGAAGGCGGCCACCUGGGCUGGACCUGACGCUGAGGUGCGAAGGCGUGGGGAGCGAACGGGAU